CCUACGGGAGGCAGCAGUGGGGGAUAUUGCACAAUGGGGGAAACCCUGAUGCAGCGACGCCGCGUGGGUGAAGAAGCGCCUCGGCGCGUAAAGCCCUGUCAGCAGGGAAGAAAAUGACGGUACCUGAAGAAGAAGCCCCGGCUAACUACGUGCCAGCAGCCGCGGUAAUACGUAGGGGGCAAGCGUUAUCCGGAUUUACUGGGUGUAAAGGGGGCGCAGACGGCGAUGCAAGCCAGGAGUGAAAGCCCGGGGCCCAACCCCGGGACUGCGCUUGGAACUGCGUGGCUAGAGUGCAGGAGGGGCAGGCGGAAUUGCUGGUGUAGCGGUGAAAUGCGUAGAUAGCAGGAGGAACACCGGUGGCGAAGGAGGCCUGCUGGACUGCAACUGACGUUGAGGCCCGAAAGCGUGGGGAGCAAACAGGAUUAGAUACCCGGGUAGUC
rnacentral:rRNA from 1 species